UACGGAGGGAGCUAGCGUUGUUCGGAAUUACUGGGCGUAAAGCGCACGUAGGCGGCUACUCAAGUCAGAGGUGAAAGCCCAGGGCUUAACCUUGGAACUGCCUUUGAAACUAGGUAGCUAGAAUUCUGGAGAGGUCAGUGGAAUUCCGAGUGUAGAGGUGAAAUUCGUAGAUAUUCGGAAGAACACCAGUGGCGAAGGCGACUGACUGGACAGAUAUUGACGCUGAGGUGCGAAAGCGUGGGGAGCAAACAGGAUUAGAAACCCCUGUAGUCC
rnacentral:rRNA from 1 species